rnacentral:rRNA from 1 species
GAUGAACGCUGGCGGCGUGCCUAAUACAUGCAAGUCGAGCGAACAGAUGAGGAGCUUGCUCCUCUGACGUUAGCGGCGGACGGGUGAGUAACACGUGGAUAACCUACCUAUAAGACUGGGAUAACUUCGGGAAACCGGAGCUAAUACCGGAUAAUAUAUUGAACCGCAUGGUUCAAUAGUGAAAGACGGUUUUGCUGUCACUUAUAGAUGGAUCCGCGCCGCAUUAGCUAGUUGGUAAGGUAACGGCUUACCAAGGCAACGAUGCGUAGCCGACCUGAGAGGGUGGUCGGCCACACUGGAACUGAGACACGGUCCAGACUCCUACGGGAGGCAGCAGUAGGGAAUCUUCCGCAAUGGGCGAAAGCCGGACGGAGCAACGCCGCGUGAGUGAUGAAGGUCUUCUGAUCGUAGAACUCUGUUAUUAGGGAAGAACAAAUGUGUUAGUAACUAUGCACGUCUUGACGGUACCUAAUCAGAAAGCCACGGCUAACUACGUG